rnacentral:misc_RNA from 1 species
AUUUGUAAUAUCAAGAUGACGUAGGUUGAUGAGAUUCUCUAUUUUUGAAGGUAAGUAUUUAAGAAAGGAGCAUUCUUUUAGUAACAAGGUCUGCAAGUUGUAUAGUGAACAUGUUGACUCUGGUAAACAUGUAAUUCUAGUGUGAGAAAGGUUAAGAAACCUUAAAUGUUUCAAUUCACCAAUGGAAUCAGGUAACUUGCUAAUGUUAUAAGAACAUAAAGACAGUACCCUCAAAUACCUUAACUUUGGCAACAAAUCAUAAAGAACAUGAUUAGUCAACCAACAACCUUGAUCACCUGUAAGAGGUAGAGGCAAGAAGGUUCGCAAGCAAUCAGUCAUAUGGAAGACCUCAAACUUUUUGAUGCCAUCACAGUAUUCACGAACAUAAGAGGAGUGGCGAGCCCUUCUGGAUACUUUGGAUUGCUUCUUGUCUUCCAUCUCUCCAUCCAGCACGAAGCAUGUCUCCCCAGCAGCCCAUUGAGCCAGAUCAUUCACAAGGUCAUGCAUUACAAAACAAGACUUAUCACUGCUUGAUAUUUGAAAAAUUGACCUUGACACUAGAUCUUGAAAAUACUCCCCACCUAGA